rnacentral:rRNA from 1 species
CCAGACUCCUACGGGAGGCAGCAGUGAGGAAUAUUGGUCAAUGGCCGCAGGGCUGAACCAGCCAAGUCGCGUGAGGGAUGACGGUCCUAUGGAUUGUAAACCUCUUUUGUCAGGGAACAAAGGCGGGGACGUGUCCCCGGAUGAGUGUACCUGAAGAAAAAGCAUCGGCUAACUCCGUGCCAGCAGCCGCGGUAAUACGGAGGAUGCGAGCGUUAUCCGGUUUUAUUGGGUUUAAAGGGUGCGCAGGCGGUGUGUUAGUACGGGGGAGAACGCCGGGGCCCCCCCCCCGGCCCGCCGUUGAAACUGGCAGUCUCGAGUUGGAGAGAAGUAUGCGGAAUGCGCGGUGUAGCGGUGAAAUGCAUAGAUAUCGCGCAGAACUCCGAUUGCGAAGGCAGCAUGCCGGCUCCACACUGACGCUGAGGCACGAAAGCGUGGGUAUCGAACAGGAUUAGAUACCCCAGUA